rnacentral:rRNA from 1 species
AGUGAACGCUGGCGGUAGGCCUAACACAUGCAAGUCGAACGGCAGCACAGUAAGAGCUUGCUCUUACGGGUGGCGAGUGUCGGACUGGUGAGGAAUACAUCGGAAUCUACUUUUUCGUGGGGGAUAACGUAGGGAAACUUACGCUAAUACCGCAUACGACCUACGGGUGAAAGCAGGGGAUCUUCGGACCUUGCGCGAUUGAAUGAGCCGAUGUCGGAUUAGCUAGUUGGCGGGGUAAAGGCCCACCAAGGCGACGAUCCGUAGCUGGUCUGAGAGGAUGAUCAGCCACACUGGAACUGAGACACGGUCCAGACUCCUACGGGAGGCAGCAGUGGGGAAUAUUGGACAAUGGGCGCAAGCCUGAUCCAGCCAUACCGCGUGGGUGAAGAAGGCCUUCGGGUUGUAAAGCCAUUUUGUUGGGAAAGAAAAGCAGCAGGUUAAUACCCCGCUGUUCUGACGGUACCAAAAGAAUAAGCACCGGCUAACUUCGUG